rnacentral:tmRNA from 1 species
GGGGACGAAAGGCUUUCGACAGGGCUAUUGAACCUCGGUCAGCGGGUAGCGGAGUUGCACCGCUUAAAAAGUAACAACUUAAAAUUAACUGACAAUAAUAAGACAGUUCUGAAGGCUGCGUAAGCACCCUUCCGUCCUGCCCGGGACUGCCGCAGCUCGGGUAAGGGCGUCGACUCAGCGGCGAACAUGAACGGGUGAGCGUACCGGCUCCCGUCAGGUAAUAGGUACUACCGUAGGCGAUAGGCUGUUUGUUGCCGCUCGUUGAGGGGAAUCCUAAAGAACAAACUACACCCGUAGAACCCUUGGGAAUACAGUUUUGGACGCGGGUUCAAUUCCCGCCGUCUCCACCA